rnacentral:tRNA from 1 species
GGUGGCUCAUUGGUAGAGCGCUUGCCUUGCAUUCAUGAAGCCUGGGUUCGAUUCCUCAGCACCA